AGGGAAUUUUCCGCAAUGGACGAAAGUCUGACGGAGCAACGCCGCGUGAGUGAGGACGGUCUUCGGAUUGUAAAACUCUGUUCUCUCGGAAGAGCAUCUUAGAGCUGAAUAGGUUCUAAGAUCCGACGGUACGAGAGGAGAAAGCCCCGGCUAACUACGUGCCAGCAGCCGCGGUAAUACGUAGGGGGCAAGCGUUGUCCGGAUUUAUUGGGCGUAAAGGGCGCGUAGGCGGCCUCUUAAGUCAGUUGUGAAAGGUCCCGGCUCAACCGGGGAGUUGCAGCUGAAACUGGGAGGCUUGAGUGCAGGAGAGGAGAGCGGAAUUCUCGGUGUAGCGGUGGAAUGCGUAGAGAUCGGGAGGAACACCAGUGGCGAAGGCGGCUCUCUGGCCUGUUACUGACGCUGAGGCGCGAAAGCGUGGGGAGCGAAC
rnacentral:rRNA from 1 species